AUAAACCACCAAGAUCUAUGAAUGCUAUGAUUAAUUAAUAGUAUUUGCUAACUGAAUAAUAAAAAUAUUAUUUUAUUCAUUUUAUUUUAUAUUUAAUAUUGAAAUAUAAUUAUUAAAAAAAAAUUUCAGGUUCACAUACCAAUUGUUUGAAUAUGCAAAGAAGAAUUACAAUAAAAUGUUCAUAUGACAAUCAUUUCUGAGAAGAAUGUUACAAUAAAGUAUACUUAAAUCUGAAGAAUAAAAUUAAUUUUUUUUAAGAAAGAUAAUUAUUGGUAAUACCAAUCAAUGCUUUUGAAUUGAAAUUGAAGAUUAA